rnacentral:rRNA from 1 species
GACGAACGCUGGCGGCGUGCUUAACACAUGCAAGUCGAACGAAGAGCGAUGGAAGCUUGCUUCUAUCAAUCUUAGUGGCGAACGGGUGAGUAACGCGUAAUCAACCUGCCCUUCAGAGGGGGACAACAGUUGGAAACGACUGCUAAUACCGCAUACGAUCUAAUCUCGGCAUCGAGGAUAGAUGAAAGGUGGCCUCUACAUGUAAGCUAUCACUGAAGGAGGGGAUUGCGUCUGAUUAGCUAGUUGGAGGGGUAACGGCGCACCAAGGCGAGGAUCAGUAGCCGGUCUGAGAGGAUGAACGGCCACAUUGGGACGGAGACACGGCCCAGACUCCUACGGGAGGCAGCAGUGGGGAAUCUUCCGCAAUGGACGAAAGUCUGACGGAGCAACGCCGCGUGAGUGAUGACGGCCUUCGGGUUGUAAAGCUCUGUUAAUCGGGACGAAAGGCCUUCUUGCGAAUAGUGAGAAGGAUUGACGGUACCGGAAUAGAAAGCCACGGCUAACUACGUG